UACGAAGGAUCCAAGCGUUGUCCGGAUUUACUGGGUUUAAAGGGUGCGUAGGCGGACUUUUAAGUCAGUGGUGAAAGCUCGCAGCUUAACUGUGAAAUUGCCAUUGAAACUGAAAGUCUCGAGUGUGGUUGAGGUAACUGGAAUAUAUCAUGUAGCGGUGAAAUGCUUAGAUAUGAUAUAGAACACCAAUGCGAAGGCAGGUUACUGAGCCACAACUGACG
rnacentral:rRNA from 1 species